GAUGAACGCUGGCGGCGUGCCUAAUACAUGCAAGUCGAGCGAACGGACGAGAAGCUUGCUUCUCUGAUGUUAGCGGCGGACGGGUGAGUAACACGUGGAUAACCUACCUAUAAGACUGGGAUAACUUCGGGAAACCGUAGCUAAUACCGGAUAAUAUUUUGAACCGCAUGGUUCAAAAGUGAAAGACGGUCUUGCUGUCACUUAUAGAUGGAUCCGCGCUGGAUUAGCUAGUUGGUAAGGUAACGGCUUACCAAGGCAACGAUACAUAGCCGACCUGAGAGGGUGAUCGGCCACACUGGAACUGAGACACGGUCCAGACUCCUACGGGAGGCAGCAGUAGGGAAUCUUCCGCAAUGGGCGAAAGCCUGACGGAGCAACGCCGCGUGAGUGAUGAAGGUCUUCGGAUCGUAAAACUCUGUUAUUAGGGAAGAACAUAUGUGUAAGUAACUGUGCACAUCUUGACGGUACCUAAUCAGAAAGCCACGGCUAACUACGUG
rnacentral:rRNA from 1 species